rnacentral:lncRNA from 1 species
AGUACUGCAGUGUGCGGCGCAUGGCUGCGAGGGCCUGCCGAGGGGCGGGCGCGAGUCGGAAAGACACCGACCAGGGAAUGGGCGACGAGGCUUGCCUUAAUUCGGAGGAAACCCAGGACUUGAGAGAGCCAUACAAUUUGAAAGACGAAGCACCGUGAAAUGCAGAAAGUUGUGGUUCGGAUAGCUCAGCUGAUUAAUUUCAUGUUGCCACAGUUUGUCA